CUGAAGAUUAAUUUGUUAAUUCACAAUAAAUAGUAUUCUUUAACUUCCUGUUGAAAAUCUUGCUUGUCUGCACCAAGUUUCCAGAGACAUUUCCUUGCCAUCUGUGUAGGUUUCUGUUUGAGAGAGAUGAUCUAGUUCUAACCCCCCUGCUAUGGGCAGGGACGCGUUCCAUUAGACCAGGUUGCUCAAAGCCCCAUCCAGCCUGGCCUUAAACAAAAUAAUCUCUAAAUCUCUUAGGCCUUAACCCAAGUUCGGUGAGGAGCAAGUAAAAUGUGCCUGUUGGAAGUUUGGAUAUUUAGCAUCUUAGGAGAGUCUUACCUUUUCUUACUCUAAAAAUAAGAGCACAUAAAAGGAAGCUGUAAGACAUCAUUUCCAUGUUAGAAACCUCAGCUGAGCUGGUAGAGAUGAGGAUUUGAAGAGGAAGACGUUAUGAGCAGCUGGGAGAUAGUAAUUCAGCAAUAACUUAACCUGGAUCAAGAACAGCUGAUAGCUUGUCAGACAGCAGCCCACAUCCCUGCCACUGCAGUCUGCAGCACCAGCUAUUGCUCAUCCCUGGCUUGUCAUUCCGUUCAUUACCAGCAGAUAAACACAUUAGCUUGGCAUUUCCGCUCCAAUUAUCAUCAGUGAAAAGGAUUCCCAGCUACUGCUGGAAGGGACAGUUACAAAGGCCUGCUGGUUCCUCCUCAGCCCUUCAGAAACCAAUACUGAAUGACAAGAGUAAGCUCUUAUCAUCAAUUCUGGAAAGAGCCAUCAGGGAAAGCCUUCCUCAUCUGACUUCUCUGGGCCUCUGCUGAUUUAUGUCAGAUGGGAAACAGGUCUUGCUGAGUCAUGACAAGCCCUUGUGAUGAUCAGACAACAUUAAGCUGCAGAGGUUUGCAGAUGAACUCAGGAAAGUGAUGGGAUGGAUGCUGGUUUGCUAUUUUUGUUCUGAUGUUUUGCCAUGUUGAUAGCCUGGAGUCUCUUUGCAUUAACAUCACCAAUUUCUAUUAUAAUUACUAUUUAACGGGGGAUGGGGAGGGAUAAGAAAUAAUUAAAGAUAAAUUUGGGUUCUGUCCUUUGACAUGCAGGUGUUGAGUGAGACAUCUGAAUUCAGAUUAAAGCCUAGAGGGCCCACUGUACCUGUGGGGGCACUUCCCCUGUGACAUCCACAGUCUAGCAUGAUCUGUCAGUCCAGAUUCAGUAAGUUCUACAUUAUUACAGUGAGCCUGACUGCAGGAAUAUAUAGUUUUCACUGAGAUGCAAUUAAAUGAAACUGAUUACAAGGAUAAAACCCCACAGUUGAAGGCAUAAAAAUAACCCAUUUGUUUAAUUUGGAUGAGACUUUACUAGGAUUGGAGAAUUUUUCUCAGAAAAAAAAGGUACUUGGAAUCUCCACCUCAGUCAUAUCCUGGGUACAGAGCAGGCUUUCACUGAUUUCUGUAUAAACGUUAAAGUUAAGCAUUUGAGUUUAUACAGCCUAGUCCAGGUUGAUUCUUCAUCAUAUUAAAUCCUAAUUCAGAUGUAACAAAAUCCUGUCUACUUAAAGAUCAAUAAAGGAUUGCUGCAUUGGAAUUUACAUGAAAACACAACUAUUCAGAGGCUCAAACACACGAAGUACAAUGAAAUAAGUAGAGUUAAUAAAAA